GAAAAGAAAAGAAAAGAAAAGAAAAGAAAAGAAAAGAAAAGAAAAGAAAAGAAAAGAAAAGAAAAGAAAAGAAAAGAAAAGAAAAGAAAAGAAAAGAAAAGGAAAGAAAAGGAAAGUGAACUUGUCAAGUAAUGUAUUUGACAUUAAGAGAGUGAAAACCAAAAUGAACAAAAAAUGUCUUUCCAGUAGCAGUGAGUUCUUUUUUCUUGAAGAUUCAAAUGAGUACCUCCUUUUUUUGCAUUCAAAGCAUUAUUUUGUCAAGAAAAGCAGCCAGUUUGAGACAAGGAAAGAGAAGAAAAGAUGACAAGCAGCUAGAAGACGGAAGUAUUCCCACUGAGUGGUACUCAAAUGAACUAAAUGUUGAUGUCUUCUCAUCCAAUGAACUAUCACAGCAGACAAAUAGCAUUCAUUCACCAUAAUUAGUACUCCAAGGUGUCAAGGUUUUGGAAGGAGUGUUGUGUAGGGG
ensembl:lncRNA